rnacentral:sRNA from 1 species
GUUAACGAUGAAGCCACCAAGUUGCUUCAAAAGUACAAGUUGACACCAAACGCAUCUGUGUAAGUUUCAAUCCAUUUGCAAAAGUUUCUACCGUUGAUGUUUAUGAUUAUCUAACUCUACAAAGAGGCUUUGAUAAUAUUAGAAUAUUUACAUUUCACUUUUAUGAUUUAUAGCUCAUCACCAGAAGACCGUCAAAUCCGUCUUGUCUCUCGUUUCGUCAAUGAGGCGCUUCUAUGUCUUGAAGAAGG